rnacentral:rRNA from 1 species
GACGAACGCUGGCGGCGUGCCUAAUACAUGCAAGUUGAGCGAUGAAGGUUGGUGCUUGCACCAAUUUGAAGAGCAGCGAACGGGUGAGUAACGCGUGGGGAAUCUGCCUUUGAGCGGGGGACAACAUUUGGAAACGAAUGCUAAUACCGCAUAACAACUUUAAACAUAAGUUUUAAGUUUGAAAGAUGCAAUUGCAUCACUCAAAGAUGAUCCCGCGUUGUAUUAGCUAGUUGGUGAGGUAAAGGCUCACCAAGGCGAUGAUACAUAGCCGACCUGAGAGGGUGAUCGGCCACAUUGGGACUGAGACACGGCCCAAACUCCUACGGGAGGCAGCAGUAGGGAAUCUUCGGCAAUGGACGAAAGUCUGACCGAGCAACGCCGCGUGAGUGAAGAAGGUUGUCGGAUCGUAAAACUCUGUUGGUAGAGAAGAACGUUGGUGAGAGUGGAAAGCUCAUCAAGUGACGGUAACUACCCAGAAAGGGACGGCUAACUACGUG